UGGGCGUGCUGAGGCUAAUCCAGCAGGCAGGCGGGGAAUCGUGCGCCUUCCUGGAUGUCUUGGCUCUCACUCUGGGAUGUGCGCGAACCACCUGGAGACCCAGCAGAAGCACAGAUGCCUCAGGCCUGGCGCGGAGCUCAGGCUGCAUUUCUCAGGGCAGCAAGUCUGGGGCCAGACUUUGAGGGGCAAGACACUGGCCCCAUCCCAGCCUCUGGUCCAAGCCCAAGUAGCUCCCUAUAGUAAGCCCAGCACACACAUCCUGAACUUCAGGAGCCCCUGGCAUCAGCAGGGCCCAGAGACCCCCUGAAACUACACGCAGCUCUGUAUGUUUCUCCCGCAGCAUGGGUCCAAAGCUCACUAUCAGAUUCUAAAAGAAAUUAUGGGGAAAGGGGGCUCACUUCAGAACGGCAGCAGCCAGGCUCAGGGGAAUGGGGCACCGCUGCCGUCCCGCCUUGAUCCCCGCUGGAACAUAGAAGAUUUUAAUGUCGAAAACUGCUUUUAAUGAAGUUCUUUAAAAAUCAAAAGGCCCCACAGUUCCUUCUCCACUGUCACUCUCCGGACGGUCGGCAGACUUUAUCUGCCAGCACUUUAAAAAGAAAAAAAAAAGAAGGAAAAGAAAGAUAUUGCCGCUAAAGAAGAAGCCAAGGCCCCCGGAAUCUUAACAAGACAGCUCUGUUUCUUAUCAUCUUCAAAAAGCCUUUAUUAAGCCUCUCUGGGCUCAUGUGGCUGAGCAAGGGCACAAGGCCAUCUCCGUACCCAGGAGAAGCCUGGCACUCAGGAAUGUCCACACAACAGAUUGCAGACAGACCCCAGUCACCAGAAAGGAAUGAGAUGUGUGCCGCCGGUUGCAUGGGUCAUGCAGAUGGAAGCCAGAGAGUGAUGGCAUCCCGGGUUCAAGACCAGGUCCCUCCUCCUGCCUGCAGAUCAAUGGAUGCGUGACUUUGGAUCCAUACCCUGGUUGCAUGGUCAGACUCCCACAGUGAGCCUGGGAGAUGUGGUUCUGUACACUGCAGGCCACGCGCCCUCCUGAAAUCAGAGGCUUUGUCGUGAAGGAGGAAGACAUCAAGCAGCUCUCCUGUGGUUCAUUUGUAAACAAGGGGUGAUGAUAUUUAUGUCCUUGGCACAGAGUACAGGGUCAGCGAAGAAGGACCAGUCCUGUUAAAGUCCGGGCUCCUUCCCUUUGCCCCGAGAUGUCCACAGCACCCUCCCCAGGAGCACUGUCUGAGUUACUUUCCCAUCUCUGGGACACAACACCCAACAUCCACAAGUUAAAGGAGGCGAGCUUUAGCUGGGGCUCAUGUUUUCAGAACUUUCCGUCCUUCCAUGGCUGGCAACACGGGGGCAGCCAGGAUGGAGAAAGAGGAAAGAAGGGAGUCAAAUGCUUCCGGGUCAUGCCCUCCUCCCCAGUGACCCUCCAGCCAGGUUCCACCUCCUAACAGCCAUUCAGCUAAGGAUCACUGUGGACUAAUCCCCCGUGAUCCAACCCCAUCCAGAAGCCCCGCCUCUGAACACAUGAGGCUCUUGGAGGACACUAGAGAUCAAAGCCACACAGCCACGCUGUCAGGGUUCGGCCUCUUUUCAUCUGAGAAGACACCUUGUGUUCCAUUUCUAUUGCUGCAUGACAGGUGCUACAGACUGGUGCCCUAAAAUGCAUCUCUUACCCACUGGCUUCUUGGCUCAGAAGGCUGAGCCCAGAUGAGCAGGGUCCCCUUCUCAGGACCUCCCAAGUGUGUAUACACUCAAGGUGUCAGCCAGGCUGUCAGUUUGGUGACUUGCCUGGGGAAGAAUUUGCUUCAAGCUCCUGCGGGUGGUUGACAGCAGUCACUGUCUUGUACUGUAUAACUCGGGGCAGCCGGAGAGACGGUGUCUGACCUCAGGGAGCUCUCCACAUGUUUUACAGGCUUUCACCUGAUUAAGCCAGGCCCACCCAGGACGAUCUACCUUUUUUUUUUUUUUUUUUUGUACCAGAGAUAGAACUUAUGACCUAGUGCUUGCCAGGCAGGCACUUAUGCCGCUGAGCUAAAUCUCUAGCCCAGUCUACUUUUUGAGUAAACUCAGAGAUCAACUAACUUAGCUGCUGAACCUGCAGCCUAAUUUCGCCUUUGCCAUCGUCCAUUGGCUGGAAGCCAUUAGUAGAGCAGGGUCACACUCAAGGGCAGGAGACCUGCAGGGCACAUAUCAGGGCUUGGGGCCGGGUCCAUCUGCCAAGGUGCCAGCAUGUCUGUUGGAUAAAUAGCCAAGUGAGGGAAUAAACAACGCCUGCAUAAUGGACCAAUGGCUUCACUUGUGCCAGACAGAAAAGGAACAGGACGACACUUUGGCUGUGUUUUCUUCUGCACAUCCCACUUCUCAUCCUGGAGAUCCUCAACUCUGCAUCCACCAGGUCCACGCAGGCUGGGAACAAAGAGCCCCGAACAAAGAAGCCACAAGGAACAAGCAGGAAGCCCGUAGAUCAUGCGCAGCCUCGAUGUCCGAGCCCCGCUGAAGUGCCGACAGUGUUUUUCUGUUCAGAGGAUCGCGGUAAUGGGGAACACAUUUUUAAUAAACACGUGCAGCAUCGGGGUGUCUGGUGGUGGUGACUCCCUCACACCCACACAGUAGGUAUUGAUUACUGACCUGCAGCUGCGUCUCCUCGGGACCGUAAGUCAUGUUCCUCCCGGCUGUUUGAAAACCGUCCCGUGCCGCGGUUCCUUGUGGGCUUUUUCGUGGAAGUCCUUGGGGGUUUGGUUAUUUGCAUCUUAUGGGGAGAGGGUGGAAUGUGGGCCCAAAGCAAAGCACAGUGGUGAGACGUGCUGAGCGCCGUGGGCCUGCCAGAUUCCUGAGGCUUACUGUCCAUUACUGAUCCCUCUGCACGUGCCAUCCCGGGGACUUUGCUAAGCACUUUCUGUAGACAGACAAUGCUCAGUCUCUCAUCAACCCAGACAUGGGUACUUCUCUUAUUCCCCGGGUAUCUAUGAAGACAUAAGGAGUGGAAAAUUCAGCACCCUGCCCAGGGACUCAGUAUUCCCA